rnacentral:rRNA from 1 species
AUACGUAGGUGACAAGCGUUAUCCGGAUUUACUGGGCGUAAAGGGCGUGUAGGCGGUCUUGCAAGUCAGAAGUGAAAUUCCUGAGCUCAACUCGGGCGCUGCUUCUGAAACUGCAGGACUUGAGUGCUGGAGGGGAUAGCGGAAUUCCUAGUGGAGCGGUAAAAUGCGCAGAUAUUAGGAAGAACACCGGUGGCGAAGGCGGCUAUCUGGACAGUAACUGACGCUGAGGCGCGAAAGCGUGGGGAGCAAACAGGAUUAGAUUCCCUGGUAGUCCACGCCGUAAACGAUGAAUACUAGGUGUAGGGGGUAUCGACUCCCUCUGUGCCGCAGUUAACACAGUAAGUAUUCCGCCUGGGGAGUACGGCCGCAAGGUUGAAACUCAAAUGAAUUGACGGGG